GAGUCUUAAUUGGGCGUUAAGUUGCAGGGUAUAGACCCGAAACCCGGUGAUCUAGCCAUGGGCAGGUUGAAGGUUGGGUAACACUAACUGGAGGACCGAACCGACUAAUGUUGAAAAAUUAGCGGAUGACCUGUGGCUGGGGGUGAAAGGCCAAUCAAACCGGGAGAUAGCUGGUUCUCCCCGAAAGCUAUUUAGGUAGCGCCUCGUGAAUUCAUCUCCGGGGGUAGAGCACUGUUUCGGCUAGGGGGCCAUCCCGGCUUACCAACCCGAUGCAAACUGCGAAUACCGGAGAAUGUUAUCACGGGAGACACACGGCGGGUGCUAACGUCCGUCGUGAAGAGGGAAACAACCCAGACCGCCAGCUAAGGUCCCAAAGUCAUGGUUAAGUGGGAAACGAUGUGGGAAGGCCCAGACAGCCAGGAUGUUGGCUUAGAAGCAGCCAUCAUUUAAAGAAAGCGUAAUAGCUCACUGGUCGAGUCGGCCUGCGCGGAAGAUGUAACGGGGCUAAACCAUGCACCGAAGCUGCGGCAG
rnacentral:rRNA from 1 species